UACGAAGGGGGCUAGCGUUGUUCGGAAUUACUGGGCGUAAAGCGCACGUAGGCGGAUUGGCAAGUCAGAGGUGAAAUCCCGGGGCUCAACCUCGGAACUGCCUUUGAUACUGCCAGUCUAGAGUCCGGAAGAGGUGGGUGGAAUUCCUAGUGUAGAGGUGAAAUUCGCAGAUAUUAGGAAGAACACCGGUGGCGAAGGCGGCCCACUGGUCCGGAACUGACGCUGAGGUGCGAAAGCGUGGGGAGCAAACAGG
rnacentral:misc_RNA from 1 species